GAAGGUAUAGCUCAAGUGGUAGAGCACAUCCUUAGCAUGCGUGAGGUCCUGGGUUCAGUCCCCAGUACCUCCA
rfam:Camelus ferus unplaced genomic scaffold scaffold302, whole genome shotgun sequence.